UACAGAGGCCUCAAGCGUUGUUCGGAAUCACUGGGCGUAAAGGGUGCGUAGGCGGCGCGGAAAGUCGGGGGUGAAAUCCCGGAGCUCAACUCCGGAACUGCCCUUGAUACUCCCGCGCUUGAGAACUGGAGAGGACAUCGGAAUUCACGGUGGAGCAGUGAAAUGCGUGGAUAUCGUGAGGAACACUAGUGGCGAAGGCGGAUGUCUGGACAGUAUCUGACGCUGAGGCACGAAGGCCAGGGGAGCGAACGGG
rnacentral:rRNA from 1 species